GAUUAUGUAGCUCAGUAGGUAGAGCACAUCCCUUUUAAGGAUGGGGUCCUGGGUUCGAAUCCCAGCAUGAUCA
rnacentral:tRNA from 1 species